rnacentral:rRNA from 1 species
GACGAACCGUGCGAACGUUAUUCGGAAUCACUGGGCCUAAAGCGCGUGCAGGCGGCCCGGCGCGUCCCUUGCUGAAAUCCCCCGGCUCAACCGGGGAACGGGCGGGGAAACGGCCGGGCUUGAGGGGGGUAGGGGGAUCGGGAACUCACGGUGGAGCGGUGAAAUGCGUUGAGAUCGUGAGGAACGCCCGCGGCGAAAGCGCGGUCCUGGGCCCCACCUGACGCUGAGACGCGAAAGCCAGGGGAGCGAACGGG